rnacentral:rRNA from 1 species
UACGUAGGUGGCAAGCGUUGUCCGGAAUUAUUGGGCGUAAAGCGCGCGCAGGCGGUCCUUUAAGUCUGAUGUGAAAGCCCACGGCUCAACCGUGGAGGGUCAUUGGAAACUGGGGGACUUGAGUGCAGGAGAGAAGAGUGUAAUUCCACGUGUAGCGGUGAAAUGCGUAGAGAUGUGGAGGAACACCAGUGGCGAAGGCGACUCUGUGGCCUGUAACUGACGCUGAGGCGCGAAAGCGUGGGGAGCAAACAGG